rnacentral:lncRNA from 1 species
GUGAUGCCUUUGCAUGAUGGAAUGGAUAUAUCUGGCUGUUUUUUGAGUAAGUUCCUUAUUAGUACCACUUGGCAGGUGCAAGAUUUUAUCUGGGUCACCUCAGCCAGAGUGGGAGAAAAGGAAGGCUCUCAAGUAUUGCGGGCGGAUAUCCUGAAACCACAUACAGUAAAAGAACAUGUGGUGCAAUGAUUCAACUGCUCCCUUGCCACAAUGGCACACUCUUUCAUUUUAAGGUUCUUUCUCACACUGUGGAUAGUUCCUCCGUUGCUCGUAGCUUCCUGCAGGUUCCGAGAAACUACCAGUUCAUUGGUCCUCGGAGGAUAUAUUACUUCUGCAUCUCAUUUCCAAAGCCCCAGGGCAUUUUUGUUGUUGGAUGUGAAGCUGCAGGCCACGCUGUUCGAGCUUUUAUGCUGCUGGGGAUGAUUGCUGGUGCCGUCUCUUUCUUUGGUCUUUGCUCCUCAUUCUUUAAAUCUAAAGUCAGCUCCAUGUCCCUGAUCAAGACCUCAGCUAACGCCAGUAUCCUUGCAGCACUUUGUGUCAUGAUUGCCAUGGCCAUUUUCACAGGAGCUUCAUCUGCCCCAGGAUUUGUUUACGGCUGGUCUUUCAUCUUCGGAUGGGCUUCUUUUCCUCUGUUUCUGAUAACAGGUGUGGUGACUAACCUAUCACGAAGUCGAUCAUAGGAGUGAUCAUGCAGAAAAGGUGCUGAAGCUUUGUGAGAUGACACAAAUUACAAGCAUUUGCAGACGACUUGGUGUUUAUUUUGGAAGAUCCAUUGGGAACAACAUUGAGACUACUGGAGAAAAUUGAUGAAUUCAGAGAAAUAGCAAGACUGAAGAUAAACCAAGAAAAAACUAAAGUUAUGGAGCUAAACAAAAAAUAAACUCUCAGAGACAUCAGACCUACA